rnacentral:rRNA from 1 species
CCUACGGGAGGCAGCAGUGAGGAAUAUUGGUCAAUGGGCGAGAGCCUGCACCAGCCAAGUCGCGUGAGGGCGUACUGCCCUAUGGGUUGUAAACCUCUUUUGUCGGGGAGCAAAAGCCGGACGUGUCCGGCUGUGAGAGUACCCGAAGAAAAAGCAUCGGCUAACUCCGUUCCAGCAGCCGCGGUAAUACGGAGGAUGCGAGCGUUAUCCGGCGUUAUGGGGUUUAAAGGGUUCGCAGGCGGAUUUUUAAGUCAGCGGUCAAAUCGUGGGGCUCAACCCCAUCCAGCCGUUGAAACUGGUGAUCUAGAGUGUGCGAGAGGUAUGCGGAAGGCGUGGUGUAGCGGUGAAAUGCAUAGAUAUCACGCAGAACCCCGAUUGCGAAGGCAGCAUACCGGUGCACAACUGACGCUCAGGCACGAAAGCGUGGGUAUCGAACAGGAUUAGAUACCCUUGUAGUC